GAUGAACGCUAGCUACAGGCUUAACACAUGCAAGUCGAGGGGCAGCAUGGUCUUAGCUUGCUAAGGCCGAUGGCGACCGGCGCACGGGUGAGUAACACGUAUCCAACCUGCCGUCUACUCUUGGACAGCCUUCUGAAAGGAAGAUUAAUACAAGAUGGCAUCAUGAGUCCGCAUGUUCACAUGAUUAAAGGUAUUCCGGUAGACGAUGGGGAUGCGUUCCAUUAGAUAGUAGGCGGGGUAACGGCCCACCUAGUCUUCGAUGGAUAGGGGUUCUGAGAGGAAGGUCCCCCACAUUGGAACUGAGACACGGUCCAAACUCCUACGGGAGGCAGCAGUGAGGAAUAUUGGUCAAUGGGCGAGAGCCUGAACCAGCCAAGUAGCGUGAAGGAUGACUGCCCUAUGGGUUGUAAAACUUCUUUUAUAAAGGAAUAAAGUCGGGUAUGGAUACCCGUUUGCAUGUACUUUAUGAAUAAGGAUCGGCU
rnacentral:rRNA from 1 species